GUGUGUAGGUGUGUCCUGUAGCUGGUGAUCAGGUGUCUUGAUAAGGGACAUUAAAGGUGAAAGUCUCUCUCUGGUACUUCACUUCAUCCCGUGUUGUGACGCAGAUGUUUCCUCCAGGUUAAACUUUUGGUGUGGACUCUGCUAUGAGUCAGUGUGAGGACAGAGAGGAGGGAGCCCCUCCCUCUAAAACCACUCUGUGUGGGGACCAUGACAACCAGACCAAAGCUCAGAGGAUGCAGCAGCAGAAACCUGGACCUGAAACUAAACCUAAGGUUAAGCCUAAGCCUAAACUUGAACCUAAACCUGAACCCAGCUGUGUUUCCAUGAAGAGUGACCGAUCUAUGGGUCGUUAUGAUGACUUUAAAGUUGGACAAGCUGAUGAU